GACGAACGCUGGCGGCGUGCCUAAUACAUGCAAGUCGAACGCUUCUUUCCUCCCGAGUGCUUGCACUCAAUUGGAAAGAGGAGUGGCGGACGGGGGAGUAACACGUCGGUAACCUACCCAUCAGAGUGGGAUAACACGUGGAAACAGGUGCUAAUACCGCAUAACAGUUUAUGCCGCAUGGCAUAAGAGUUAAAGGCGCUUUCGGGUGUCGCUGAUGGAUGGAUCCGCGGUGCAUUAGCUAGUUGGUGAGGUAACGGCUCACCAAGGCCACGAUGCAUAGCCGACCUGAGAGGGUGAUCGGCCACACUGGAACUGAGACACGGCCCAGACUCCUACGGGAGGCAGCAGUAGGGAAUCUUCGGCAAUGGGCGAAAGUCUGACCGAGCAACGCCGCGUGAGUGAAGAAGGUCUUCGGAUCGUAAAACUCUGUUGUUAGGGAAGAACAAGGACGUUAGUAACUGAACGUCCCCUGACGGUAUCUAACCAGAAAGCCACGGCUAACUACGUG
rnacentral:rRNA from 1 species